rnacentral:lncRNA from 1 species
UCCAGCAGGGUCCGGAGGAGGAGGUGGAUGAUGUAGCCGGCCGAAAAGUCGGGCACCUGGAGGCCGCCGCGCUCCCCGAAUGGCCGCGGGCAGCGUCUCUGCCCGGAGGCCGGCUCCCGGGGGUCGGGGCAGCGGCGGGGGCCCAGCGCGGCGAGCGUGGCUCCUCGGUGCAGGACAUAGACGCUGAAGACGGCGGAGGGGAGGAGGACGCACACGCCCUGGAUCAGCCAGAACCGCAGGUGAGACACGGGGGAGAAGACGUCGUAGCAAACAUUGGCGCAUCCCGGCUGCAGCGUGUUGCAGACAAACCUCUCCUGCUCGUCCUGGUAGACGGGUCGCCCCGCCAAGACAAUCACCAGCAUCCGCAGCAGCAUCGUGAGGACGAACCAGAGCUUUCCUGGAAGAGAGGAAGCGGGCAUGGCCUCAUCACCCCGAAUACACUGCCCUGACCACACCAGGGUUGCACACAAACACCCCUCCACCUGCUUUGGUCUUUGGAGUCAGCACCCCAGUGUCAGCACAGGAUGAUCUGUGAGAGAACAAUGUCAAACGCAAGACUCCCUUACAUGACGGAGGAACCGCGGAACCAUUCAAAGAAACUAGAAGCCUCAGCUCUCUUCCCUCCAGAAAGGCACAGCCCUUUCUUUUGGGAGUGGGUGGACUUUCAGCUUGGUGCUUGCACACUGAAAAUGAGUAAAUACCUGGACCCUUUAAGGACUCAAUUCCACCAUGGCAGUGGAAAUAAAAACAGCGCAGGAGUUUGGAGAUGGUCCCAAUACUCACCCACCAUGGUCACGUUGCAGUUUAAUGUGAUGAUGAGAAACCCUAGCAAGUCCACGCCUUCCAUGCUUCCAGAAUGUCCCAGGCUCCAGGCUGCAGGAGACACUGGAGGGCUGUGUUCUCCAAGGAGGCGGAU